GGGUGUUUUCUCUCCCCCCCCCCCCCCCGCGCCGGGAGCUCCAGGCGGCUCCCGUACGGCUCCCGGGGCCUUCCCCCCUCGGGGGGCUCGGCCCGCCCCUUUCGCGGGGCGCUGUGGGAAGGGCGGGGGCGGGGCCCGGGGGUCGAAGAGCCCCAGCCGGGGCUCGGGCAGCUCUCGCUGCCCCCGGGGCUCCCGUGUUCCCUCGGGCGGUCGCAGCUCUGGGGCUGUCUCAGCCCCCCGGGCAGGCGUGCUCUGGCGUUUAGAGAAGCGGAGGCGUUGCCUGAGGUGCAGAUGGAUGAGUCGUGCAGGGCAACGGAGGAGAGCCCAGGGGAGCGCUGUAAGAAGGUGACAGCCCUGCGAUGCUGCGGUGCCUGCGAGGUGAUGCCGCCGUGCUCGUUGCUGCUUCCUGGUAAGGAAAGGCCUCCUCCGCUCCUGCUGCAGCGUGGUGGUGUGUCGGACACGAUUCCCUGUGUCGGGUGAGGCCUAGGGCUGCCGGCGAGGUGGAGGAUGGCCUAGAGUCUGGAGCUGCAGAAGAGGCAGGGCGGAGAGGAGGGGAAAGAAGCAUCUGAACGGCUAAAUUGUGCCAGCAGCGCUGAGAGCGAGAGUCGCGAGACCGUGCUGAGGACGUGGUUGUCUGUCCUUCCCCCGGGGAUGCCGUUGACUGCAGCCGUCUCAGGCUUGCGUGGCUUCUCUCUGCCCGGCGUUGCCAUCCUCGCAGCGCGGGGGCGAAAAGGGACACACAGAGCCCUUCCCGGCUGUGGACAGGAGCUGCCUCGGCUGAAGCUGGAGACGCCAACGAAAGGUGGAGGACGGCCUAGAGUCUGGAGCUGCAGAAGAGGCAGGGCGGAGAGGAGGGGAAAGAAGCAUCUGAACGGCUAAAUUGUGCCAGCAGCGCUGAGAGCGAGAGUCGCGGUGCAGGUGGAUGAGUCGUGCAGGGCAACGGAGGAGAGCCCAGGGGAGCGCUGUAAGAAGGUGACAGCCCUGCGAUGCUGCGGUGCCUGCGAGGUGAUGCCGCCGUGCUCGUUGCUGCUUCCUGGUAAGGAAAGGCCUCCUCCGCUCCUGCUGCAGCGUGGUGGUGUGUCGGACACGAUUCCCUGUGUCGGGUGAGGCCUAGGGCUGCCGGUGAGGUGGAGGAUGGCCUAGAGUCUGGAGCUGCAGAAGAGGCAGGGCGGAGAGGAGGGGAAAGAAGCAUCUGAACGGCUAAAUUGUGCCAGCAGCGCUGAGAGCGAGAGUCGCGGUGCAGGUGGAUGAGUCGUGCAGGGCAACGGAGGAGAGCCCAGGGGAGCGCUGUAAGAAGGUGACAGCCCUGCGAUGCUGCGGUGCCUGCGAGGUGAUGCCGCCGUGCUCGUUGCUGCUUCCUGGUAAGGAAAGGCCUCCUCCGCUCCUGCUGCAGCGUGGUGGUGUGUCGGACACGAUUCCCUGUGUCGGGUGAGGCCUAGGGCUGCCGGUGAGGUGGAGGAUGGCCUAGAGUCUGGAGCUGCAGAAGAGGCAGGGCGGAGAGGAGGGGAAAGAAGCAUCUGAACGGCUAAAUUGUGCCAGCAGCGCUGAGAGCGAGAGUCGCGAGACCGUGCUGAGGACGUGGUUGUCUGUCCUUCCCCCGGGGAUGCCGUUGACUGCGGCCGUCUCAGGCUUGCGUGGCUUCUCUCUGCCCGGCGUUGCCAUCCUCGCAGCGCGGGGGCGAAAAGGGACACACAGAGCCCUUCCCGGCUGUGGACAGGAGCUGCCUCGGCUGAAGCUGGAGACGCCAACGAAAGGUGGAGAACGGCCUAGAGUCUGGAGCUGCAGAAGAGGCAGGGCGGAGAGGAGGGGAAAGAAGCAUCUGAACGGCUAAAUUGUGCCAGCAGCGCUGAGAGCGAGAGUCGCGAUGUCUUCUCAGUGUCUCGUGAUGCUCAAGAGAUGCCCCCCGGCCCGGGUUUGCCUGCCGGUCGUUAAGCGUGGUGAAGGGCAACUUCUGUUCCCGAGGUGGUGCCUACAGUACAGCUAUCUCUUCGAAGGCAGUUUGGUUUAGGUCAGAGAAUGUUUAGCCUGGACUGAAUCAGCCUCUGUUUCUAUUUCUGGAAAUCGUCGGUCCUGUGCAUCAAGCCCGGAAAAAAGGAAAUAUGAACCAAAGGACCUGGGGCCUGCAGGGCUAGGAAAAUAUUUGAGAAGAGGUUCAGCGGGGAAAUGACUGUUUGUCUGUGGGGCGUCCAGGCAAGCAACCCAGCUGCUAGAAAGCGGCGCUGUCCCCAGGAUGGCCUCGGCGGUCCCGUCGGAGUCGGGGGAACAAGGACAAGGCAGGGUGAAGCAUCUGGCCUGCCGUGUGGACCGUGACUGUACAAAGCACGUGUGAUGCACUGCAAGUUUACCUGUUUAAACUGUGAGUUAAAGAAGGUGUGCAGUUGCUUUGUAAACAGCCGACGCUCUAAAGCUACACCCAUCUAAUUGCUAGCUGUAUUAAAUCUAUCGUAUUGCUGUUUCUGCAUUAAAAAAGAAAAAAACCAACACACCUAUGUAAGCACGUCUAAGUACAAUGGAAAACCACUGUUUAACGCGUGGCAUGUGCGGGUGGUUUUUUUGGGGCGGGGGGGUGGGGUGUAUGACAAAAACCUGCGAGAGACACACGCACACACGCACAUGUCAUGUUUAGCGCUCACCUAAACCCAAAAAAGAAAAUCCACUCUUUAUUUUGCAGCAUUAGCAUUAGCUUCCAGCGCACAGCCUGAGCGCGCACCUCUGCUCUCACCGUCUG